rnacentral:rRNA from 1 species
AUUGAACGCUGGCGGCAGGCCUAACACAUGCAAGUCGAACGAGUGGCGGACGGGUGAGUAAUGUCUAGGAAACUGCCUGAUGGAGGGGGAUCACUACUGGACACGGUAGCUAAUACCGCAUACCAUCAGAUGGGCCCAGAUGGGAUUAGCUAGUGGGUGGGGUAACGGCUCAUCAAGGAGACGAUCCCUCGCUGGUCUGAGAGGAUGACCAGCCACACUGUAACUGAGACACGGUCCAGACUCCUACGGGAGGCAGUAGUGGGGAAUAUUGCACAAUGGGCGCAAGCCUGAUGCAGCCAGGCCGCGUGUAUGAAGAAGGCCUUCGGGUUGUAAAGUACUUUAAGCGGGGAGGCGUUACCCGCAGAAGAAGCACCGGCUAACUCCGUGCCAGCAGCCGCGGUAAUAC